UGCCCUCCCCACGAACCCUAGCCGCCCCUGCCCUCCCCUCGAGCGCGAGCCGCGGCCGAUCUAGACACCGGCGGGGCGCCGCGAGCAGCGGCCGGUCCAGCCACCGGCGUGCGGCGAAAGCAGCGGCCGGUCCAGCCACCGGAGGGGCGACGGGAGCAACGGUGUGACCUUGACCUCUCCAGGUUGCAGAGGUGGAAAGGAAGCAGAAGAGGGUGCCGUUCGACCAACCUCUCAGGACAAGCUGCUCACGGAGGUGCCCAAGUACAAGCGGACUAUGUUCUCUGUCCUCCCCUAGGCCAUUAACUCGUCCAGCAAGCAAGGCAAGUAAACCAGGCAACAACCAAGCUGACUAGCACAGUUCCAAUUCCCGUGAGAUCCACUAUGACAAAGAUGACAACGAGCAAGAAACUCGCAGAAGCGCCAACUGCUGAAUACGAGAAGAUUAGGGCUAAAAAUUUGAUGAGGAACAACCGCAUAUUCCAAUCACUUGGCAUUGCUGCAUUAGGUAUGAUGGUUAGGAACUCAAAUCGAAUGCAGCAAAGUAGUGUCAUCACCGAUGGGGACUCAGCUUCUGCCAUAACACAACAAGGCUCAAGCUCUGAGUAGAGUCCUGACGAUGAGGUCAUUGAGGAGGAUGAAGUUGAUGAUAUUGUAGUGGAGAAGGAAGAUAAGGUUCCUAAGAAGGCAAGGAAGUCGAUCAAUAAAAAGACAUGAUGUCUGAAGAUAGAUAUGUUGUCUUUAUCUCUACCUUCCUUUACUAAACAUCAGUUGUGCUACUUGGAGAGAUGAUGAUAACAUUGAUUUGCAUGUUAUUAUGGCUGCAUACCCUUUUGAACUGCAACUUGGAUUGCAAUCUUUAGGGGCCUUUGUGGUUGCUCCAUUAAUUCUCAUACAUCUUUUUCCAUGGUAGGAAACCUGUCAGUCGAACAAGGAGAACCGUUUCGAAGUUAAGUUCCAUCAGAAAACUGGUUCUCGCCCCUACAUUUCCCAUGUGCAUGCUUUGAAAGAGGCUCGUAAGGGUGAAGAGUUGACUUUGUUUGAUCUAUUCAAGGAGUGCCACAAUGGCAAGAAGACUGGUUUCUCUGAGCCAGUUAAGAAGGCGAUAGCUGACAUGUAAAAAGCUAUGGAACAAGGGGUACCAGAAGGUGGAGAACCGAAGAAUGUUGCUGCUGUUGUUGCUGACAUUCUCACUAAAGAAUGUCCCUCAAACACAUUCCUUCAAAAUGUUGGCCUUGAUUCGAGCUCCAAGAAGUUCAACAGGUUUGCAUCUGCUUUGGAUGCUCAUGUACAAGAACUAGAGUACAAGCUUGAGAGGGAGAGGCAAGCCGCUGAGUUGAUGCGAGAGGAGCUUGUUGAGGUCAAGAAGAAAUCAGAGGAGACCGAAGCUGCACGCGCCGCAGAGUAUCAGUUGUUACUGCAAAGAGUUGAGGCCACCGAUGCGAGGGUUGUAGCAAGUGAUGCUAGAUUUGCGCGUCUCAUGGAUCUAUUCGAAGGUAAAAUAGUUUAGUACGGCAUGGUUGAUGUUGGCUUUGGGACCUUUGAUGUUGAGUUGUUUGGACCUGGGGUUGAUGAGUUUUGGUUGACUGGACAUGUGAAUCACAAUAUGGACCAGGGAUUGGCUGUGGUUUAAUGAGGUUUUGUUUUGGUUGGUGCAUCUUAUGAACAUGGUGUACUGAUACUAAGCUACUGGCUAUGUUAUUUUGGUUGGUGCAUCUUAUAAAACUGUGGCGUAAUGAUACUGUUGGGCCUAAGUUAAUGAAAUCUAGGAGAAUUAUAUUUA